rnacentral:rRNA from 1 species
GGCCCAGCUUGCUGGGUACUCGAGUGGCGAACGGGUGAGUAACACGUGGGUGAUCUGCCCCUGACUCUGGGAUAAGCCUGGGAAACUGGGUCUAAUACCGGAUAUUCAUUUUUCCUCGCAUGGGGAUUGGUGGAAAGCUUUUGCGGUUGGGGAUGGGCCCGCGGCCUAUCAGCUUGUUGGUGGGGUAAUGGCCUACCAAGGCGACGACGGGUAGCCGACCUGAGAGGGUGAUCGGCCACACUGGGACUGAGACACGGCCCAGACUCCUACGGGAGGCAGCAGUGGGGAAUAUUGCACAAUGGGCGCAAGCCUGAUGCAGCGACGCCGCGUGAGGGAUGACGGCCUUCGGGUUGUAAACCUCUUUCAGCUCCGACGAAGCGCAAGUGACGGUAGGAGCAGAAGAAGCACCGGCCAACUACGUGCCAGCAGCCGCGGUAAUACGUAGGGUGCAAGCGUUGUCCGGAAUUACUGGGCGUAAAGAGCUCGUAGGCGGUUUGUCGCGUCGUCUGUGAAAUUCUGCAGCUUAACUGUAGGCGUGCAGGCGAUACGGGCAGACUUGAGUACUACAGGGGAGACUGGAAUUCCUGGUGUAGCGGUGAAAUGCGCAGAUAUCAGGAGGAACACCGGUGGCGAAGGCGGGUCUCUGGGUAGUAACUGACGCUGAGGAGCGAAAGCGUGGGUAGCGAACAGGAUUAGAUACCCUGGUAGUCCACGCCGUAAACGGUGGGUACUAGGUGUGGGUUUCAUUUCACGG